UACGUAGGGGGCAAGCGUUGUCCGGAUUUAUUGGGCGUAAAGAGCGUGUAGGCGGCUUUGCAAGUCCGUUGUGAAAACUCGAGGCUCAACCUCGAGACGCCGGUGGAAACUGCAAAGCUAGAGUCCGGAAGAGGAGAGUGGAAUUCCAGGUGUAGCGGUGAAAUGCGUAGAUAUCUGGAGGAACACCGGUGGCGAAGGCGGCAUCCUGGACCGAUACUGACGCUGAGGAGCGAAAGCCAGGGGAGCAAACGGG
rnacentral:rRNA from 1 species